UACAGAGGCCCCGAGCGUUGUUCGGAUUUACUGGGCGUAAAGCGGGUGUAGGUGGUGACGUAAGUCAGAUGUGAAAGCCCUGGGCUCAACCCGGGAAUUGCAUUUGAUACUGCGUCGCUGGAGUACAAGAGAGGAAAGUGGAAUUUCUAGUGUAGGGGUGAAAUCCGUAGAUAUUAGAAGGAAUACCGAUGGCGAAGGCAACUUUCUGGCUUGUAACUGACACUAAGAUCCGAAAGCGUGGGUAGCAAAC
rnacentral:rRNA from 1 species